ensembl:lncRNA
AAAGCGGUUUGUCGUCCCCCAAAACGCUGGGUGCUUUAGGCCAAAGAGGGAAGGAGAGCGCUGCAUAACGUGGAUAUUAACUUACAGUCCAUUGAAAACAAAGCUUAAAAUACAUAAUAUCGUCUGGCAUCGAUGAAGGUGUUCAUCGACACCUGCACGACUCUAUACAGGUGUGGUAAAGGUGGCCUGUAAGGACAAGAGCUGUGGAGGUCAGAACGGACAGGAAGCGGCUGUUUGUUUGUCUGGACACUUGUUUGUGAGUCUGGCCAUUAUCCUCCUCAUUAAUUCUGAUGUUAAAUAGCCUAGCUCAAGAUUGGGAAGGUUAUACUGACCUCACACUUCUCCAUAACAGUAUGUUUGAAUUAUUUUAGCCCUCACAGUGGCCGACUUCAACUCUUUGUUAGGGCGGCAAUCAUGUUUACACCCUAAACAACAAGGGAUUUGCCACACUAGUGGCUUUUAUCCUCCAAGAUGUUUUGUUUGAAUGCUGCUUGAUUUUUUUUGUCAUUUGUUGAACACUAUCCGGCUUGAUUUAAG